GAUGUGGGAAGCUCCAUCUUCACAGCCGAGGACACCACUCUCUGGGAUUCAUGCACUGCUGACUGAAAAGGAGAAAGUCAUCUGAGCACAAGAACUCAUCAUUCGUUGCUUCCAGCCUUCCAGCCUUCUCCUCUUGCCGCUGGGCCUCCCCUGCCUGUCACCUUGCCUCCUCCCCAGUCCUUAAGCCAGAAUCAAUCUUACCUCCCUUAACCUACCCCUUGUCCAGUAUUUGGUCACAGUCCUGAAAGAACAGAAACCAGGAGAUUUUCCUGUAGCUAAUUUCCUGCAACAACAAGAGAAAGAGAAAGAGAAGUAGCUUAUGACUAAAUGUGAAGAUGUGGCUUCUCCCUCUCCCUGGAUCCAAUCACUUAUUGAAUUAACACCAAGGAUCUCUUUCCAGAUGGGAGGACAAUCCUAGUAACAAAAUAAAAUAUGUCAGUGCCACUCA
ensembl:lincRNA Gm29414 predicted gene 29414